rnacentral:rRNA from 1 species
UACGGGGGGAGCAAGCGUUGUUCGGAUUUACUGGGCGUAAAGGGCGCGUAGGCGGUCAGUGCAAGUCAGUUGUGAAAUCUCCGGGCUUAACUCGGAACGGUCAACUGAUACUGCUCGACUAGAGUGCGGAAGGGGCAACUGGAAUUCUUGGUGUAGCGGUGAAAUGCGUAGAUAUCUGGAGGAACACCGGUGGCGAAGGCGGCAUCCUGGACCGAUACUGACGCUGAGGAGCGAAAGCCAGGGGAGCAAACGGG